GAUGAACGCUGGCGGCGUGCCUAAUACAUGCAAGUAGAACGCUGAAGGAAGGAGCUUGCUCUUUCCGGAUGAGUUGCGAACGGGUGAGUAACGCGUAGGUAACCUGCCUGGUAGCGGGGGAUAACUAUUGGAAACGAUAGCUAAUACCGCAUAACAGUAGAUGUUGCAUGAUAUCUACUUAAAAGGUGCAAUUGCACCACUACCAGAUGAACCUGCGUUGUAUUAGCUAGUUGGUGAGGUAACGGCUCACCAAGGCGACGAUACAUAGCCGACCUGAGAGGGUGAUCGGCCACACUGGGACUGGGACACGGCCCAGACUCCUACGGGAGGCAGCAGUAGGGAAUCUUCGGCAAUGGACGGAAGUCUGACCGAGCAACGCCGCGUGAGUGAAGAAGGUUUUCGGAUCGUAAAGCUCUGUUGUAAGAGAAGAACGAGUGUGAGAGUGGAAAGUUCACACUGUGACGGUAUCUUACCAGAAAGGGACGGCUAACUACGUG
rnacentral:rRNA from 1 species